UACAGAGGGUGCAAGCGUUGUUCGGAAUUAUUGGGCGUAAAGCGCGUGUAGGCGGCUAUGCAAGUCGGGUGUGAAAGCCCUCAGCUUAACUGAGGAAGUGCGCCCGAAACUGCUUGGCUUGAGUACCGGAGAGGAUGGCGGAAUUCCCCAAGUAGAGGUGAAAUUCGUAGAUAUGGGGAGGAACACCGGUGGCGAAGGCGGCCAUCUGGACGGAUACUGACGCUGAGACGCGAAGGCGUGGGUAGCAAACAGG
rnacentral:rRNA from 1 species